CUGCUCGCAGGCGUAUCCCUUCUCCUCCCCGCCAGUGCGCAGGCGCAACCCACCCCUCCCGGGCCCCACCCGCAGGCACACACAGCCCAGCGGCUAGGUGCCGACACCCGCCCACGGGGACCGCGCCGCACAUAGACAAAAGAGGAAGAGGCAACUUAAGAACGAAUGUACAAGAUGCAGUAAAAAUGAAUUGCUUGGGCUUCCCUGGUGGCGCAGUGGUUAAGAAUACACCUGCCAAUGCAGGGGACACGGGUUUGAGCCCUGGUCCAGGAAGAUCCCACAUGCCGCGGAGCAACUAAGCCCAUGCGCCCCAACUACUGAGCCUGUGCUCUAGAGCCCCUGAGCCACAACUACCAAAGCCCAUGAGCCUAGAGCCUGUGCUCUACAACAAAAGAAGCCACUGCAAUGAGAAGCCCACACAUGGCAACGAAGAGCAGCCCCUGCUCGCCGCAACUAGAGAAAGCCCGCGUGCAGCAACGAAGACCCAACACAGCCAAAAAUAAAUAAAUAAAAAUUUUAAAAAAAAUGAAUUGCUUGAUAUCCACUACUUCAUGUAUAUCAAGCACAGCAGUAAAACAAAAAAAACACCAUAUAUUUAAUUUUUUCUUAAGUUUUUUUUUGCUUUUGUGAUUUUUUUUGAUGCUUGACUAACGUGCUGUAAAAAUAGUUAACAUGGAACUUGAGAUGAUGGCUUUUUUAAUGUCUUAUGAGAUUUUCAUGAACAAUUCAAGCAUAAUUGUUAAGAACACGUGUAUUAAGUUCAUGUUAAGUGGAAAAAAAGUUUUAUGGACAAAAAAAAAAAGAUGCACAAUUAGGAUACUAUUCUCACUCGCCAAUACAUUAUCCUCCUCCCUUUAGGUGCACAGAUGGACACACCAGAAUGUCUCCCAACUGAAGCACACUUACAAUGUUUUCAGAUUUUUGCUACAACAACCACAUACCACAUACUAGCAGACCUUAUAAGAAAUACCAAAGGAGGUUCUUCAAGCAGAAAGGAAGUGAUCCCAGACAAUAAUGCAAAUCCACAUGAAAGAACAGUAAAGGUAAUUAUGUAAUUACAAAAAACACUACAAAUGCAAUAUGUUUUCCUGUCUUCUCAACUGGUUUAAAAAGGGGUUGUAUAAAACCAUACUUAUAUUUAAAUAUUAAAAAUAUAUAUAGUUGUAAAUACAUAUAAAUAAUUGUAUUGUUUGGCCUGUAACACAGAAAUGUAAUAUAUUUGCCAAUAAUGGCACAAAGAAGGUUGGGGGAGUAAAAUUGUAUUGGGCUAAUAAGGAAAUGACUGUAGAUGGUAACUUCAAUCCACAGGAAGAAUUCAAAUGAAGAGAACCAGUAAUGAGCAAUAAGAAGGCCAAUAUAACAAAAACUAGAAAUAUGUAACUGCUCUCCUUUCUUCUGUCAGCUUCCUUAAAAGACAAAUUAUAUAAAGUAAUAAUUACAUUGUAUUACAUUAUUGGGUUUGUACCACAUACAGAGGUACUACUUUACAUAACAAAAACCUCCUAUGUAGAGAGGUACAUAGGAGUAACUUAAUCUCACUGAAAUUAAGUUAUUGUAUCUAAAGGAAAACUUAAAAAGUUAAUAUGUACAAGGUAAGGCCUAGAGAAACCACUAGGAAAAUAAUUCCCCAAAAUGCAGUGCAAAAAAACCAUUAAAAUUAAAUGUUAUACUAAAGAAAUACUUAAUACAAAGAAAGCAGUAAAGCGUGAAUAGAAGAAUGAUGUAAAUCUAAUAAUAUCAACAAUAAUGGUAAAUGUGAAUGAAUUAAACAAUCCAGUCAAAAGACAGAGACUGUCAAACUGGAUAGAAAAACAAGAUCAAAUUAUAUGCUAUUCAUAGGAGAUACACUUUAGAUCCAAUAGAUUCAAUAAAUAGAAAUGAAAAGGAUGGGAAAAGAUAUACAAUCAUCAAGCAUAAGAAAAAUGAACUGGCUAUACUAAUAGCAGACAAAAUAGAGUGUUAAAACAAAAAUGUUACUAAGACAGAAAGGGACAUUUUAUAAGGAUAAAGGGUCACUCCAUCAGGAGGAUAUAACAAUUCUAAGUAUAGAUGCACCUAACAACAGAGCACCAAAAUACAUAAGACAAAACCCGACAGAAAUAAAGGGAGAAACAGACAAUUCAACAAUAGCUGAUAUCCCACUGUCAAUAAUGCAUAGAACAACUUGGCAGAAGACCAACAAGGAAAUAAAAGGCUUGAACAACACUAUAAAACCAAACAAGCAUAACAGGUAUCUAUAGAACACUCCACACAGCAAGAGCAGAAAAUCCAUUCUUUUCAAAUGCACAAGGCACAGCAUAGGCCAUACACUAGGCCAUAGAACAAACUUCAGUAAAUUAAAAGGACUGAAAUAAUAGAAUGUAUAUUCUCUGACCACACAGAAUAAAAUUAGAAAUCAGUAACAGAAAGGAAUUUGGGAAAUUCAGAAAUAUGUGAAAAUUAAAUGACACACUGCUGAAUAACUAGUGGGUCUAAGAAAAAGAAAUCAGAGGGAAAUUAGAAAAUAACCUGAGAUGAGUGAAAAUGAGGACGUGACAUGCCAAAAGUUAUGGGAUACAGUGAAAGCAGUACUCAGAGAAAAAAUUAUAGCUAUAAAUGCCUACAUUAAAAUAGAAAAAAACCGGGCUUCCCUGGUGGCGCAGUGGUUGAAAGUCCGCCUGCCGAUGCAGGGGACACGGGUUCGUGCCCCGGUCCAGGAAGAUUCCACAUGCCACGGAGCGGCUGGGCCCGUGAGCCAUGGCCGCUGAGCCUGUGCAUCCGGAGCCUGUGCUCCGCAACGGGAGAGGCCACAGCAGUGAGAGGCCCGCGAACCGCAAAAAAAAAAAGAAAAAGAAAAAGAAAAAAACCUAAGCAAGCAGAAUAUUGGAGUAGAAAUUAAUGAAGCAGAGGACAGAAAAACAGAAGAGGAAAAAAAAAAAUCAAUGAAGCCAUAAGUUUAUUCUUUUUAAAGAUCAACAAAAUUAACAAACCUUAACAAGACUGACCAAGAAAAAAACAAGACUCAAAUUACCAGUCAAAAAUGAAAGAAGGGGGGGCUUCCCUGGUGGCGCAGUGGUUGGGGGUCCGUCUGCCGAUGCAGGGGACGUGGGUUCGUGCCCCAGUCCGGGAGGAUCCCACAUGCCGCGGAGUGGCUGGGCCCGUGAGCCGUGGCCGCUGGGCCUGCGCGUCCGGAGCCUGUGUUCCGCGGCGGGAGAGGCCACAGCGGUGAGAGGCCAGCGAACCGCAAAAAAAAAAAAAAAAAAAAAAAGAAAGAAGGGGACUACUGACAUUACAGAAAUAAAAAGGAUUAUAAUGGAACACUAGAAAUAAAUGUAUGCUAAUAAAUUGGAUAAUAGAUGAAACAGACAUAUUUCUAGAAAGACACAAACUACUGAAACUGACUCAAGAAGAAAUAGAGGGAGUUCCCUGGUGUUCCAGUGGUUAGGACCACUUGGCACCUUCACUGCUGGAGCCCAGGUUCAAUCCCUGGCCCGGGAAGUAAGGUCCUGAAAGAUGCAUGGUGCAGCCAAAGAAAGAAGAAACAGAAAAUCUAAAUAGACCAAUAACAAGUAAAGAAAUAGAAUUAGCAAUGAAAAAAAAAGCAGCUACCCACAAAGAAAAGCCCAGGUCCAGAUGGCUUCAGGGGCAAAUUCUACCAAUUUAAUACCAAUUCUUCACAUACUUCCAAACAAAAGGAGGGAAAACUUCCCAACUCAUUUUUUGAGGCCAGUAUUACUUUGAUACCAAAACCAAAGACAUCACAAAAAAACACAGAUGAAUUAUCUCUUAUGAAUACAGAUGCAAAAAUUCUCAACAAAACAUCAGCAAAGCCAAUCCAACAACAUAUAAAAAAAUUAUACACCAUGACCAAGUAGGAUUUUUCCCAGGAACACCAAGCGUGGCUUAACAACCCAAGUUAAUGUAAUAUACCAUACGAAUAGAAUAAAAAACAAAAGCCACAUGAGCAUCUCAAUAAAUGCAGAAAAAGCAUUUGACAAAAUCCAAUAUCCUUCCAGAAUAAAAACACUCAACAAGAUACGAAUAGAAGGGAAUUCAGCAACCAGAAAAAGGGCACCUAUGAAAAAUCCACAGCUAACAUCGUACUUAAUGGUCAAAGACCGAUGCUUCCUCCCCUACCAAGAUCAGGAACAAGAAGAUACUUCUCUUCAAAACUGUGUUGGAUGUUCUAGCCAGGGCAAUUAAAGAAGAAAAAAAAAAAUUAAACGGCAUCCAGAUUGGAAAGGAAGUAGUUAAACUAUCUCUAUUUGCAGAUAACUGAUCUUAUAUACAGAAAAUGCUAAGGAAUCCACUAAACUAUCAGAAUUAAUAAACAACUUCAGUGAAGUUACGGGAUAAAAUAUCAACAUACAAAUAUCAAUUGUAUUUUGAUACACAUACAAAGAACAACCCAGAAAUGGAAUUAAAGAACACAAUUCCAUUUAUAAUAGUAUCAAAAGAAUAAAAUACUUAGGAAUAAAUUAAGAGCCCCAAAAGUGCAAAACUUAUACACUGGAAACUAUAAAACACUGUUGAAAGAAAUUAAAGAAGAUCUAAAUAAAUGCAAAGGCACCCCAUAUUUACAGACUGGAAGACUUAAUACUGCUGAGAUGGCAACACGCUUCAAAUUGAUACAGAAAUUGAAUAUAGUCCUAUCAGAAUAACAGCUGGCUUCUUUGUAGAAACUGACAUGCUGGUCCUAAAAUUCUUGGAAGCUCAAAGGCACAAUCUUGAAAAAAAAGGAACAAAAGUUAGAGGAGUCACACUUUCCGAUUCUUAAUCUUACUAUGAAGCUAAAGUGUGGUAAUGGCAUAAGAAUAUAGAGAACAAAAGAAUAAAGAGUCCAGAAAUAAAUCCAUGUAGCUAUGGUCAACUGCUUUUUGACAAGGGUGCCAUAGUGAAAAUGAGAAAAAACAGUCACAGGGAAAAAGUAGUUUCUUCUACAAAUGGUGCUGGGACAACUGGAAAAUCACAUGGAAUAGAAUGAAGUUGAACCUUACCUUAUACCAUAUACAAAAAUUAACUAAAAUGCAUCAAAGAUCCAAAAUUAUAGGAGCCGAAACUGUAAAAUUCUUAUUGUAAGAAAACAUAGGGGGGCUUCCCUGGUGGCGCAGUGGUUGGGGGUCCGCCUGCCGAUGCAGGGGACGCGGGUUCGUGCCCCGGUCCGGGAAGAUCCCACAUGCCGCGGAGCAGCUGGGCCCGUGAGCCAUGGCUACUGAGCCUGUGCGUCCGGAGCCUGUGCUCCGCAACAGGAGAGGCCACAGCAGUGAGAGGCCCCCCGCGUAUCGCAAAAAAAGAAAAAAAAAAAAAGAGAAAGAAAA